rnacentral:rRNA from 1 species
AAUAUUGCGCAAUGGAGGGAACUCUGACGCAGCGACGCCGCGUGAGCGAUGAAGGUUNNNGGAUCNUAAAGCUCUGUCCUUGGNGAANAAGGUCUUCGGACUUGACGGUACCUAAGGAGGAAGCCCCGGCUAACUACGUGCCAGCAGCCGCGGUAAUACGUAGGGGGCAAGCGUUGUCCGGAAUUAUUGGGCGUAAAGGGUGCGUAGGCGGCCUUUUAAGUCUCGUGUGAAAGGCCCCGGCUUAACCGGGGAGCUGCAUGGGAAACUGGGUGGCUUGAGUACUGGAGAGGGUUGCGGAAUUCCCAGUGUAGCGGUGAAAUGCGUAGAUAUUGGGAGGAACACCAGUGGCGAAGGCGGCAACCUGGACAGUGACUGACGCUGAGGCACGACAGCUGGGGGAGCAAAC